rnacentral:rRNA from 1 species
AAUGGCAUAAGCCAGCUUGACUGCGAGCGUGACGGCGCGAGCAGGUGCGAAAGCAGGUCAUAGUGAUCCGGUGGUUCUGAAUGGAAGGGCCAUCGCUCAACGGAUAAAAGGUACUCCGGGGAUAACAGGCUGAUACCGCCCAAGAGUUCAUAUCGACGGCGGUGUUUGGCACCUCGAUGUCGGCUCAUCACAUCCUGGGGCUGAAGUAGGUCCCAAGGGUAUGGCUGUUCGCCAUUUAAAGUGGUACGCGAGCUGGGUUUAGAACGUCGUGAGACAGUUCGGUCCCUAUCUGCCGUGGGCGCUGGAGAACUGAGGGGGGCUGCUCCUAGUACGAGAGGACCGGAGUGGACGCAUCACUGGUGUUCGGGUUGUCAUGCCAAUGGCACUGCCCGGUAGCUAAAUGCGGAAGAGAUAAGUGCUGAAAGCAUCUAAGCACGAAACUUGCCCCGAGAUGAGUUCUCCCUGACCCUUUAAGGGUCCUGAAGGAACGUUGAAGACGACGACGUUGAUAGGCCGGGUGUGUAAGCGCAGCGAUGCGUUGAGCUAACCGGUACUAAUGAACCGUGAGGCUUAACCUU